GUAGCUCAGGUGAUAGAGCAUAAGACUCUUAAUCCCAGGGUUGUGGGGUCGAGCCCCACAUAUGGCA